GUGAUCACUUCGGUAGCACAUAUACUAAAACUGGAAUGAUACAGAGAAGAUUAGCAUGGCCUCUGCACAAGGAUGACAUACAAAUUUGUGAAGGAUUCCAUAUUUUA
ensembl:snRNA RNU6-686P RNA, U6 small nuclear 686, pseudogene